rnacentral:rRNA from 1 species
CUACGGGAUGCAGCAGUGAGGAAUAUUGCACAAUGGGGGAAACCCUGAUGCAGCAACGCCGCGUGGAGGAUGACGCAUUUCGGUGUGUAAACUCCUUUUAUGAGUCAAGAAAAUGACGGUAGCUCAUGAAUAAGCACCGGCUAACUCCGUGCCAGCAGCCGCGGUAAUACGGAGGGUGCAAGCGUUACUCGGAAUCACUGGGCGUAAAGGACGCGUAGGCGGGAUGUCAAGUCAGGUGUGAAAUCCUAUGGCUCAACCAUAGAACUGCACUUGAAACUGGCAACCUAGAGUAUGGGAGGGGGAGAUGGAAUUAGUGGUGUAGGGGUAAAAUCCGUAGAUAUCACUAGGAAUACCGAAAGCGAAGGCGAUCUCCUGGAACAUUACUGACGCUAAGGCGUGAAAGCGUGGGGAGCAAACAGGAUUAGAUACCCGAGUAGUC